ACGAGGCGUUCAGGUACAGUCGGAUCGUGACGAGGCGUUCAGGUACAGUCGGAUCGUGACGAGGCGUUCAGGUACAGUCAGAUCAUGACGAGGCGUUCAGGUACAGUCAGAUCAUGACGAGGCGUUCAGGUCCAGUCAGAUCAUGACGAGGCGUUCAGGUACAGUCGGAUCGUGACGAGGCGUUCAGGUACAGUCGGAUCGUGACGAGGCCUUCGGGUACAGCCGGAUCGUGACGAGGUGUUCAGGUCCAGUCGGAUCAUAACGAGGCGUUCAGGUCCAGUCAGAUCAUGACGAGGCGUUCAGGUACAGUCGGAUCGUGACGAGGCGUUCAGGUACAGUCGGAUCGUGACGAGGCGUUCAGGUACAGUCGGAUCAUAACGAGGCGUUCAGGUACAGUCGGAUCGUGACGAGGCGUUCAGGUACAGUCGGAUCGUGACGAGGCGUUCAGGUCCAGUCGGAUCGUGACGAGGCGUUCAGGUCCAGUCGGAUCGUGACGAGGCGUUCAGGUCCAGUCGGAUCGUAACGAGGCGUUCAGGUCCAGUCAGAUCAUGACGAGGCGUUCAGGUACAGUCGGAUCAUAACGAGGCGUUCAGGUCCAGUCGGAUCAUAACGAGGCGUUCAGGUCCAGUCGGAUCAUAACGAGGCGUUCAGGUCCAGUCGGAUCAUAACGAG